AACGAACGCUGGCGGCAUGCCUAACACAUGCAAGUCGAACGAGACCUUCGGGUCUAGUGGCGCAAGGGUGCGUAACGCGUGGGAACCUGCCCUUAGGUUCGGAAUAACUCCCCGAAAGGGGUGCUAAUACCGGAUAAUGUCUUCGGACCAAAGAUUUAUCGCCUUUGGAUGGGCCCGCGUUGGAUUAGCUAGUUGGUAGGGUAAAAGCCUACCAAGGCGACGAUCCAUAGCUGGUCUGAGAGGAUGAUCAGCCACACUGGGACUGAGACACGGCCCAGACUCCUACGGAAGGCAGCAGUGGGGAAUAUUGGACAAUGGGCGAAAGCCUGAUCCAGCAAUGCCGCGUGAGUGAUGAAGGCCUUAGGGUUGUAAAGCUCUUUUACCCGGGAUGAUAAUGACAGUACCGGGAGAAUAAGCUCCGGCUAACUCCGUG
rnacentral:rRNA from 1 species